rnacentral:rRNA from 1 species
CAUGCAAGUCGAACGAAGGCUUCGGCCUUAGUGGCGCACGGGUGAGUAACACGUGGGAACCUGCCUUAUGGUUCGGGAUAACGUCUGGAAACGGACGCUAACACCGGAUGUGCCCUUCGGGGGAAAGUUUACGCCAUGAGAGGGGCCCGCGUCCGAUUAGGUAGUUGGUGGGGUAACGGCCCACCAAGCCGACGAUCGGUAGCUGGUCUGAGAGGAUGAUCAGCCACACUGGGACUGAGACACGGCCCAGACUCCUACGGGAGGCAGCAGUGGG